GACGAACGCUGGCGGCGUGCCUAAUACAUGCAAGUAGAACGCUGAAGGAGGAGCUUGCUUCUCUGGAUGAGUUGCGAACGGGUGAGUAACGCGUAGGUAACCUGCCUGGUAGCGGGGGAUAACUAUUGGAAACGAUAGCUAAUACCGCAUAAUAGCAGUUGUUGCAUGAUAACUGUUUGAAAGGUGCAAUUGCACCACUACCAGAUGGACCUGCGUUGUAUUAGCUAGUUGGUGGGGUAACGGCUCACCAAGGCGACGAUACAUAGCCGACCUGAGAGGGUGAUCGGCCACACUGGGACUGGGACACGGCCCAGACUCCUACGGGAGGCAGCAGUAGGGAAUCUUCGGCAAUGGACGGAAGUCUGACCGAGCAACGCCGCGUGAGUGAAGAAGGUUUUCGGAUCGUAAAGCUCUGUUGUAAGAGAAGAACGAGUGUGAGAGUGGAAAGUUCACACUGUGACGGUAUCUUACCAGAAAGGGACGGCUAACUACGUG
rnacentral:rRNA from 1 species